rnacentral:rRNA from 1 species
GACGAACGCUGGCGGCGUGCUUAACACAUGCAAGUCGAACGUAGAGCGGUGGAAGCUUGCUUCUAUCCAUCUUAGUGGCGAACGUGUGAGUAACGCGUAAUAAACCUGCCCUUCAGAGGGGGACCACAGUUGGAAACGACUUCUUAUACCGCAUACGAUCUAAUCUCGGCAUCGAGUAUAGAUGAAAGGUGGCCUCUACAUUUAAGCUAUCACUGAAGGAGGAGUAUGCGUCUGAUUAGGUAGUUGGUGAGGUAACGGCCCAACAAGGGGAGGGUCAGUAGGCCGACCUGGGGGGGGAACCGCCCACAUGGGAACUGGAAAACGGCCCGACCUCUUAGGGAGGCAGCAGUGGGGAAAUUUUCGGCAAGGAGGAAAGUCUGAAGGGGCAAAGCCGGGGGAGGGAUGAAGGGCUUCGGGUUGUAAAGCUUUGUUAAUCGGGAAGGAAGGAAUUCUUGAGAAUAGUGAGAAGGAUUGACGGUACCUGAACAGAAAGCCACGGCUAACUACGUG